AUACCAUUUGGAGGACAUAUUCAAUCUAUAGCAACACAUGACAAUUAUAGUGAUCUGACAACUGACCAAAGCACUUGUCAAACCUUGGAUAUAGGAUAGAACCUAUGCUACAGGAAGCACCAGCUAUUCAGCAUCUGCCAUUCUGCUUAGUUGUUGAAGCAUUAGGAGAAGGCAGCAAACACCCUGCAAGAUGUUCCAGGGAGAGAAGGCACUCAGCUGGCGUUGUAUUUGCCCUGUUCUCCCACUACCUCAUCAAGCCAGACCCAGUGAUACAAGGCUGCUCCUCCUCCCGCCCUGUGAGGAGACACAAAGCUUCAUGGAUCCCAUCUGCUCUCAGACAGUGUCUCAGGUCUAAAAGGAGACAUGACUACGAGUGAUUGCACAAUGGUUCACAUAUGCACGUCAGUUCCCCAACAACUUGGCCAGUGGGGAUAAUAGCAAUCCCCUGGAGAUGCAAAGGACAACUCAAAACAUCUAACAAUUGGAUAUGAUGAUAUGUGAAGGGCCUAGGAAAGCUAAAUUUAUGUAACAGAAAAGAGAAGACUCAGAGGGACAUGGUUAUCAGCUAUAAAUUUUUUCAAGAGUCUUUCACAAAACAGAAACAGAAGCUCACCGGGCAUUCAUGAAAUAAUGUGUUGAGUUUAAACCUACCUACUGGAAUUUGAAGGCAGAGUGACAGAAAGAGAUCUUCCAUGCACUCCAUACUAAAGCUAGGAGCGCACAACUCCAUUUGGAUCUCUGUUAUGAAUAGCAGGGACUCAAUUACCUGAGCCAUCACAGGAUGCACAUUCGCUGGAAGUUGUAUCAGAAGCAGAGCAGGGACUCGAACUGAGGUACACCCACGUGAAAUGCAGGCAUUUUAACUGCUGAGUCAAAUGCCUACCCAAAACAUUUUUUAUGUACUAGGUACUCUAAAAUACAUUGGAAUUUCUAAAUACAACUUUAAAAAGCUAAAAUUCUGACUUUUGUACAAUUAUAAAAUGAAUACCUGUCAAAAACCUUACUCAAUUCACUCAGUAAACUGUUGAAAGGCUAUUCUUAUCACUCAGCAUUACUACACAGUAUGGGCCUCCUAGUAUUGGAAUUUAUAUGCUAUAGUGAUAGGGAGUGUCUCCUCCACAUUCUAUCAUUUGCUCUCCACAUGAGUUGCUUGUCUCAUUUAUGUUGGAGGCACCUGCUCCCUUUCAAAGAUGAAUGAAACUUUUCUUACACCUCCAAGUCAAAUGUUCAUUUCUCAAAGUAGAGACACCCCCUCUGCCUCAAGAAAAAUAUCUGUUUACAUUAUGUGUAAUCAAGUAAAAAAUAACCUCUCUCUCUUUAGGGUAGAGAAAGAGAUAGAUGUUCCAUCAGUCAUCUAAACUCCAAGAGUAAUAAUUUUGGAAUUUCUCUCCUGUGGUGAAAACCCCUGUAUUCAGAGGUAUAACCAUGUGGCGCUCAUUGCAUCACCUGGUAUAGAGUGGGUCAUAAAGAACUAGCGCUACAAUAACUACUGGUAUUGCUGUAAAUAACAAAGGUGUGAUGUCCUAUUUGGAGUCUUGUGUAUCUACAGAAAAGUAGUGUCUCAGAUUUUUCACAGGUUUUGGCCUUACUGGAAAUUAUAUAGUGUUAAAAACUGAUUCAGAAGACAAUUUGUAGAACAGUUAUACACUCUCCAAAUGCCUCCAACAGUUGUGGGUGGGCUAGACUGAAGCCAGGAGCCAGGAAUUCAAUCCUGCUCUCCUGUCAGGGACCCAGUUAUUGAGCCAUCAACUGCUACCUCCCAGUAUGCACAUUAGCAUCAGACUGGAAUCAGAAGUGGAGCUGGAACAGGAACUCAGGAUCUCCACGAUGCGAUGUGAGUGCCCCAAGUGGCAUCUUAACUGCUGGGCUAAACACCCUCCCCUAGAAUGCCUUAUUCUUAUGACUACAAAACUAUCCAUUGAAAGGACAUGACAUAAUUCAUUUAAUAAUCCGGAUAAUUUUUAUGGAAGAAAAAUACUUGUGAGCUAAAUAACUUUAACAAAACCGUAUGUUCAUUUCAUAUGUGAGAUUCAUUUUGCCCAGCUUAUAAUUACCCAUCACUUUGAUGAAAAGGGUACCAAAUGCCUUUGAUGGAAUGUUGACUCCAGUCUUGGCCCUGUACUUAGGAUUCUGUACUUUGCUCUGUACAUGAAAAACCUUGGCAAACUGCUUAAAAUACAGUUGCCUGAAUAUUUUCAAAAUAACUGCCCAAUCUGUUUUGAAGGUUUGUAGUAAUAAUAAAUGUCAGUAAUUUUGAAAUUGGAUCAUGCACCUCUAGCAGACAGAGUCCUCAAGGCCCUAAGACCAAUUUCCUUCCCAUCCUCUACCACAUAUAUUGGUUAACCUGAAAAUCUCAGCCACUUAAUGUAUUUUAAACUUCCAUGAAGAUCUUUAUUUGAAGAUAGAUAAAUUUUUCAUGUUUCAAAAAAGUCUGGAAAGUUAUAUAAAAUAAUAUGUCAAUGCAAUAUAUUGCUGUUAAUAUCUUAAACAGGAAAAAAUAAUCAUAAUGAAAAAGAGGUAGUGCAUUUAGGGUGCCAGCAAAGCUACAGGUGCUGCAGGGAGAGCAAGUAGUGUAGCAAGACUGAAGUAGUUCCUUGCAGUGCCCUUCCUGCGAUUCAGUCAUCUUAUAACAUAACACAAGCAUCUAUCAGAAGUCAUUGGAAGAGAUCUUCUAAGGAAAAAAAAACUGGAGUAAGAAACUCAGUCCUGGAGUGACUAUGUCAGAACAAAAGCUUCAGGGGAGAAGGCUCCAAAUGAAUGACUCCACAUGCAUUUCAUAAUCAAAGUUGUAAAGGACUACAUGGAAUCCUUAAGUGAAAUAUAUUUAGGAGUCUUUAUGUCUGGUGUUAGUGUUUUCAAGUAUCAUUUUGAUCAGCUUCUUCUUGGUAAAGGUAAAUUUCAUCAUAAAUAGAAGCCUAAUGCCCUUGGCUUCAACAUUUUGCAGAGAAGCUCUUUUAAGAUUGAGUUAUCUGGGACCUGCACUGUUGGGUAGCAGGUAAAUCCACCGCCUGCAGUGCCAGAAUCCCAUAUGGGCGCCAGUUCGAGUGCUGGCUGCUCAACUUCUAAUCCAGCUCUCUGCUAUGACCUGGGAAAGCAGUAGAAGAUGGUCCAAGUCCUUGGACUCCUGCUUCUGAGUGGGCGACCCAGAAGAAGCUCCUGGCCACUGGCUUUGGAUCUGCGCAAUUUCAGCCACUGUGGCCGUUUGGGGAGUGAACCAAUGGAUGGAAGAUCAGUGUCUCUCUCUCUCUCUAUCUCUCUGCCUCUGUAACUUUCAAAUAAACAAAUAAAACUUUAAAAAGAUUGUCAUCUUUUUAAAAUUUUAUUUCUUAUACAAGUUUCGUGUAUUUCUAUAUACAGAUUUAGAAAUUUAGUGACACUUCCACCAUACUAUCCCUCUCACCCAUGCUCCAUUUUUAAGACACAAUAUCAUUGUGUAAUAUGUAAGCUAUAAUGUCAGCCACCCACAUGUGUACAGAACUAUUCAAAACACUUGCAAUAUAUUGUAUUAGGUAGCCAUGUAAAAAAAGACACAUAAAAAAUACCUACACUCCUGCGCUAAAAACAAGGCAUUCAACAGAGAAAGAUACAUUGUGCCCUCUCCUAAGUGCCCAACACUGGGUUGCACACUGAAAGCAGAGAUGAGUGAGACAGAGUGAGACUUCCAAGCAGCUUUGUCGGAAACAAACAAGCAGAGUCUAGGAAGAACUUUCUGGUAGCAAGAAUAUGCAGAUGAGAAUUAUUAAAAUUAACAUGACUAAACUCUUCCUUCAAAAGCAGAAGUCUAAACACAAAACAAUAGCAGAAUAAGAAAUGGAAAACACUGUAGUGUUUAACUUAGUUAUCUUCCAGUUCCACUGCUCCCCUUGCACUGAAGGUAAUCUUUUCAAACCCUUAGCUCAGCCAUAUUUUAGACUAGCUCUAGAAAGGACUUUCACAUUUUUAUAGUGUUCUUUCUUCCAUUGUAUUUCUUAUUAUUAAUGCUCUAAAGAAACAUUAUUGAAGUCUGUAAUUGUUUAACUCUUUUAGGCCAAAAUUUGCCCAUUUGCUUUCUUAGCUUAUUUCUUAACUGAUAAUAUCUUCAAGCAAUGACAGAUUUCUCUUUGUUUCCAAUCCUCAUACCUUCAUUUAAUUUCUUGUUCUUAUUAGAAAGACCAAGGCUUACAUUUUAAAGGUAAUCAACAUUAAGAAUAUCAAACAUCUUGUCUUAUUCUUGAAUUUAAUGGAAAUGCAGUCUAAUAUCACCAUUAAAUGUGACGUUUCCUUUAAAUUCUUGAUAUUAAGAAAUUUCUUAUGGCCAGCAUUAUGGCGUAGUGAGUUAAGCCGCUGCUUGCAGCACCGGCAUCCCAAAUGGGUACCAGUGUGAGUCCCAGAUGCUCCACUUCUGAUCCAGCUUCCUGCUAAUGUGCCUGAGAAAGCCCCAGAAUAUGUCUAUUCUCUGGGCUCUUGCACCCACAUGGUAAACCCAGAAGCAGCUUCUGGCUGUUGGCUUCAGCCUGGCCCAGACAUGGCCGUUGUGGCCAUUUGGGAAGUGAGCCAAUGGAUGGAAGAUGUCUCUCUCUUUGUGUCUCCAUCUCUUUCACUGUAGCCCUGUCUUUCAAAUAAAUAAAAUAAAUCUUUAAGAAAAAAGAAAUUUCUGAGUGAAGUAAGUUCCAUUUUACUAUUAGUUUGUUAAAAUUUUUAUUGCUAACAGAUUUAUCAUAAGUUGAUUAGAAUUUGUCAGAUUUUUAUUCAUAUAAUUUUUAUUAAUUUUGAUGUAAUGUAGACCACUAUAGUAACAGAUAUUCUAAAAGUGAAUGAUCUAUUCAUUUUGUAAUAGGUCAACUUGGUUUUGAUGACUAUUUGUAAUUAUGCUGGGAGAUUUUAAUUUUUGGCCCACAAAGUUAUUUACUUGCCUUUUACCAGUUUCUGUAACUGGUCAAAAAAAAAAGCAAUAAAAUGAGUCAAAUUUUUUCAGCUUGUUUUGUAAGUUUAGGUAUAUAUGUUUUUAAUCAAUUUAUUUCUUUGAAAGAAUUACAGAGGGAGAUGGGGGAGGGUGGGAUAUGGAUUUUCCAUCUGCUGGUAAACUCUCCAAAUGGCCACAAUUGCUAGGGCUGAACCACGCUGAAGCCAGGAGUCAAAAGCUUAAGCAGGGUCUCCUACGUGGGUUCAGGGGCCUAAGGACUUGGGAAAUCUGCUGCUUUCCCAGGCACAUUAUCAGGGAUCUGGAUCAGAAGUGGACCAUUGGGACUCAAACUGGCACCCAUAUGGGAUGCCAGCUUUGCAGGCAGAACCUUAAUCCAUUUCUUCACAGCACCAACUCCAGUUUAGAUAUACUUUUUAUGAGAUAUGGUUUGAAUGUGCUUCAAAAAUUUACAAAAAAUAUACAAACUUUGCUGUGUUUUUAGGUUAUUCAGCUGGCAGAGGAAUUUUGAUUAGAAUUUGAUUUUUAUGAUUGUUAUUACUCUACGCAAUCUGUCAAUCUAUUCUUUUCUAGUCCAUUGUGCUAGAA